UACGUAGGGGGCAAGCGUUGUCCGGAAUCAUUGGGCGUAAAGAGCGCGUAGGCGGCCCUGUAAGUCCGCUGUGAAAGUCAAGGGCUCAACCCUUGGAUGCCGGUGGAUACUGCAGGGCUAGAGUCCGGAAGAGGCGAGUGGAAUUCCUGGUGUAGCGGUGAAAUGCGCAGAUAUCAGGAGGAACACCGAUGGCGAAGGCAGGACUCUGGGCCGAUACUGACGCUGAGGAGCGAAAGCGUGGGGAGCAAACAGG
rnacentral:rRNA from 1 species